rnacentral:misc_RNA from 1 species
GAAAUGCGAUAAGUAAUGUGAAUUGCAGAAUUCCGUGAAUCAUCGAAUCUUUGAACACACAUUGCGCCCUCUGGCAUUCCGGGGGGUAUGCCUGUCCGAGCGUCAUUACGCACCCUCAAGCCCGGCUUGUGUGAUGGGCCCCGGCGUCUCGUUCGCGAGACGGGCCCGAAAGGCAGCGGCGGCGUCGACCCGAUGAGCCCGAGCGUAUGGGGACUUCUGUCACACGUUCGCGGUGCGGACCGGCGCCUGCUUGACUUUUCUGAUUAUCCAGGUUGACCUCGGAUCAGGUAGGGAUACCCGCUGAACUUAAGC